CACGUAGGCGGACUCUUAAGUCGGUGGUGAAAUCCUGGAGCUCAACUCCAGAACUGCCUUCGAUACUGAGAGUCUCGAGUCCGGGGGAGGUGAGUGGAACUGCGAGUGUAGAGGUGAAAUUCGUAGAUAUUCGCAAGAACACCAGUGGCGAAGGCGGCUCACUGGCCCGGUACUGACGCUGAGGUGCGAAAGCGUGGGAGCAAACA
rnacentral:rRNA from 1 species